rnacentral:rRNA from 1 species
UACGGAGGUGGCAAGCGUUAUCCGGAUUUACUGGGUGUAAAGGGCGUGUAGGCGGGAAAGCAAGUCAGAUGUGAAAACCAUGGGCUCAACCUGUGGCCUGCAUUUGAAACUGUUUUUCUUGAGUACUGGAGAGGCAGACGGAAUUCCUAGUGUAGCGGUGAAAUGCGUAGAUAUUAGGAGGAACACCAGUGGCGAAGGCGGCCGCCUGGCCUGUUGCUGACGCUGAGGCACGAAAGCGUGGGGAGCAAAUAGG